rnacentral:rRNA from 1 species
UACGUAGGGGCCUAGCGUUGUCCGGAAUUAUUGGGCGUAAAGAGCUCGUAGGCGGUUCGGCAAGUCGGAUGUGAAAUCUCCACGCUCAACGUGGAGGGGCCAUUCGAAACUGCCGUGACUCGAGUCCGGUAGGGGAGUGUGGAAUUCCCGGUGUAGCGGUGAAAUGCGCAGAUAUCAGGAAGAACACCAACGGCGAAGGCAGCUCGCUGGGACGGAACUGACGCUGAGGCGCGAAAGCGUGGGGAGCGAACAGG